GAUGAACGCUAGCUACAGGCUUAACACAUGCAAGUCGAGGGGCAGCAUUUUAGUUUGCUUGCAAACUGAAGAUGGCGACCGGCGCACGGGUGAGUAACACGUAUCCAACCUGCCGAUAACUCCGGGAUAGCCUUUCGAAAGAAAGAUUAAUACCGGAUAGUAUACGAAUAUCGCAUGAUAUUUUUAUUAAAGAAUUUCGGUUAUCGAUGGGGAUGCGUUCCAUUAGUUUGUUGGCGGGGUAACGGCCCACCAAGACUACGAUGGAUAGGGGUUCUGAGAGGAAGGUCCCCCACAUUGGAACUGAGACACGGUCCAAACUCCUACGGGAGGCAGCAGUGAGGAAUAUUGGUCAAUGGGCGCGAGCCUGAACCAGCCAAGUAGCGUGAAGGAUGAAGGCUCUAUGGGUCGUAAACUUCUUUUAUAUGGGAAUAAAGUUUUCCACGUGUGGAAUUUUGUAUGUACCAUAUGAAUAAGGAUCGGCUAACUCCGUGCCAGCAGCCGCGGUAAUACGGAGGAUCCGAGCGUUAUCCGGAUUUAUUGGGUUUAAAGGGAGCGUAGGUGGAUUGUUAAGUCAGUUGUGAAAGUUUGCGGCUCAACCGUAAAAUUGCAGUUGAUACUGGCUGUCUUGAGUACAGUAGAGGUGGGCGGAAUUCGUGGUGUAGCGGUGAAAUGCUUAGAUAUCACGAAGAACUCCGAUUGCGAAGGCAGCUCACUGGACUGCAACUGACACUGAUGCUCGAAAGUGUGGGUAUCAAACAGGAUUAGAUACCCUGGUAGUCCACACAGUAAACGAUGAAUACUCGCUGUUUGCGAUAUACAGUAAGCGGCCAAGCGAAAGCAUUAAGUAUUCCACCUGGGGAGUACGCCGGCAACGGUGAAACUCAAAGGAAUUGACGGGGGCCCGCACAAGCGGAGGAACAUGUGGUUUAAUUCGAUGAUACGCGAGGAACCUUACCCGGGCUUAAAUUGCAUUUGAAUAUAUUGGAAACACCCCCCCCGUAAGGCAAAUGUGAAGGUGCUGCAUGGUUGUCGUCAGCUCGUGCCGUGAGGUGUCGGCUUAAGUGCCAUAACGAGCGCAACCCUUAUCUUUAGUUACUAACAGGUCAUGCUGAGGACUCUAGGGAGACUGCCGUCGUAAGAUGUGAGGAAGGUGGGGAUGACGUCAAAUCAGCACGGCCCUUACGUCCGGGGCUACACACGUGUUACAAUGGGGGGUACAGAAGGCAGCUACCUGGUGACAGGAUGCUAAUCCCAAAAGCCUCUCUCAGUUCGGAUCGAAGUCUGCAACCCGACUUCGUGAAGCUGGAUUCGCUAGUAAUCGCGCAUCAGCCAUGGCGCGGUGAAUACGUUCCCGGGCCU
rnacentral:rRNA from 1 species